rnacentral:lncRNA from 1 species
CCCCGCUCCCGAGGGCCCCGCUCCCGAAGGCCGGCUGCGGGCAAAAGUCAAGUCGCGCCUCCUGUGUGGGAGGCUCCCUGCUAAGUGUUCGGGACACAAAUGCAGCGAAAUCGGGGUCCUCGCGUCCCGGGAACUCACAGUGCUAAUGGAGGAGACGGCACACAAACAUAAGUGCAAUCAAGUUAGAGGUCAACUCCGCAGAAGGGGACCUAAAGGAGGAGCCCAAAAGGAGGUCGGCAAGAUUGUCAGCUAAACCAGUCCUUGCAAAGGUUGAACCUAAGCCCAAAAAGACAGGUGGAAAGGUAAGAUUUUUGUACCUGAAAAGAACCUAGAAAUUGUUGGAUAGUAUUUAAAUUAUGAAUUUGAAUUCAUCUUUGCUGCUUCUCUUCCCGC